ACCACUACGUCCUGCUCUGCCUCCAGCACAUCACAGUCGCCUCUUAAUCCUGGUCUCGCAUCCUCACCCAGGUAUGUCUUCUCUGCUCCUGGCGGCAGCUGACGACUCAAUACCAAGAGCAACGAGCUUUUUCAGCACCACUGCCUGUCCCACCACACCACGGGCAACAAGUGGGACCAGGGUCAGCAUGCGUCCUGCCUGCCGGCUACUCUCAAGGACUGACCCCCCUCCUCCUUCGGAAACUCCCCCCAGCUGUCCCAAACCCCUACCCAGGGCAGAUGCAAAAUCCCCGGGCACCAGCGGGAGAGAGGGGAGAAGCAGCAGCCAAGAGAGGAUCCGAGGACAGCUUUGCCUCCAACCCCAGAUCCUGACCCAACACCUUGGACGCCAGGUCUCUCCCGCGAAGCGCUGGGAAGCAUGAGGCAUGCAGCAUUCAAAAUGUUUUUGAAAAAGACGGACUUGAAGCUGUUACAAACACGCCAUUGUACUCACUUCUUAUUCAGAGACCGGCUGCGCGCUCCGAGCUGCACGGGCAGGCAUUUUCCCCGGCUUUGUUUUACAAGCCGGAAUCCCCCGCUGACCUCCACCCUCCCACCUGCACGCUGGGUGAGAGUUUAUCUUCCUGAAGGCUCCUGGGCCAGAGGGGAAUAUUUUCCCAGUUACAAGGAGAACUUCCAAGUUAAAGCAGUUAAACAUGUGAAACUAGUGAAAGCUAUAGACGUGGAGGACGUUAGGUCGAGCAGGAAGAUCUGAUUUUGACGAGAGCGUUGGAAACUUUCUGCAAGACUGUGGCCCUCAGUGAUUUAAAAUGACAACUUGUUUUUAAGAUUCCAGAACAGAUUCAGCAUCUCUUUCCCCUAUUAAAAAUGUCUUCCUUAUUAGGAAUUCCU